GGUUCUGUGGCAGUGUGGUUAGCUGGUAGUUCAUGAUUUAAAACAACCACUAUCUACAUUGCCCCGAAAA
rfam:Lottia gigantea unplaced genomic scaffold LOTGIsca_10, whole genome shotgun sequence.